rnacentral:rRNA from 1 species
CUCUCGUAAUAAACACAAUGAUAGGUAAUUCCUGCCCAGUGACUGUAAAGUUCAACGGCCGCGGUAUCCUAACCGUGCAAAGGUAGCAUAAUCACUUGCUCAUUAAUUGUGGGCUAGAAUGAAAGGACCAACGAAAUAGAUACUGUCUCUAUAAGUAUAAUAAAAAUUAAUCACUAACUGAAGAAUGUUAGAUAUAAUCGAAGGACAAGAAGACCCUAUAGAGCUUUAUUUGACAAAGACCUUACCCAGCUUUUUACAAUUCGGUUGGGGCGACCAGGGAAAAAUAAAAUCAUCCCUCCCUAAUAGAUUUAUAAAUCUCUACUAUGACCCUUGAAAAAGAUCAUAAAACCAAGCUACCUUAGGGAUAACAGGCUAAUCCUAUUAAAGAGUCCUUAUUAAUAAUGGGGUUUGGCACCUCGAUGUUGGCUUAGGGAAUCACUAUGGCGCAAAAGUCAUAUAAAGAUGGUUUGUUCAACCAAUAAUACCCUACAUGAGCUGAGUUCAGACCGGCGUAAGCCAGGUUAGUUUCUAUCCACGAUAAAAUAAUCUAUUUAUAGUACGAAAGGACCUAAAUAUGAAUAAUAAUUAUAAUAACCAAAGAACCCAUAUAAUAUAAAUUUAAAGCAAGAUUCAUAAACUAUG